rnacentral:rRNA from 1 species
UACGGAGGGAGCUAGCGUUGUUCGGAUAUACUGGGCGUAAAGCGCACGUAGGCGGCGCAGCAAGUCAGGGGUGAAAUCCCGGAGCUCAACUCCGGAACUGCCUUGAAACUGCAGUGCUAGAAUCCUGGAGAGGCGAGUGGAAUUCCGAGUGUAGAGGUGAAAUUCGUAGAUAUUGGGAAGAACACCGGUGGCGAAGGCGGCUCACUGGCUCGUAUCUGACACUCAAGCGCGACAGCGUGGGAUCAACAGG